rnacentral:tRNA from 1 species
GGGCCUGUAGCUCAGCGGCAGAGCACGGGGCUCAUAACCCCAGGGUCGCAGGUUCGAUCCCUGCCAGGCCCACCA